GGCCAAUUAGGGUUGUUGAGAGAUGUACAAAUAUGCAUAUCCUGGUGCCCCUGGUUCCAAAUAUGGAACAAGCUUCUCAGGAAUUAUUUUGGUUACACACGUCAUUAGAAAUCUGCCAUUAAUGAACCAUACACCUGCAACCCUGAAAGUUAUGGAUGUGGUCGAUGACAGAAUUAACAAAAUGAUGAGAAGGAAAUCUAAUCUAAUCUAAUUCUAAUAUUGGUUUUUGAAGGGGGAAAAACAUUUAAAUAUUUUCAUCAAAAAGGUAUAUAGUACAGUCAUGGUCAGAAUUAGUGGAACCCUUUUGGUAAAUAUGAGCAAAGAAGGCUGUAUGAAAUUGUUUAUCCUUUGAUCUUUCAUUCAGGAAAUUCACAAAAAUAUGAUUUUGCGUCACAAGCAGAUUGAAUCAGGUUGUUUGUGAGGGACAAAUGAAAAGGAUCAUUUAUUGAAAAAGGCCCUUUAAUAAAACAGUUAAUAGGAAACAUUUAGGAGUGCACUAACUUACAAACCCUCAAAACAAAUUUGAUUCCAUGGGGUCUUUAUUUGCCAAUUAUGUGAGAUUACAUUAAAGACUGCACACAAACAAUAGUAUAUAAUAAAGACUUAAGUCUUUAAACUGGAUUCUGUGUCAAGUCUGAAGUCUUUAAACUGGAGUCUGAGUCAAGUCUGAAGACUUUAAACUGGCUCUGUUUUAGGUCUAAAAUGGAAAACUUAAGAUUUUCAUAAUGUCUUAACUAAAAUUGAUGGCCUGUUAGCAGGAGCAUGUCAAUUUGCAUUUUCUUGGGAAUGCUGAUUGACAUGCCUCUUUUGAUUAUUGUUCUCAACUACAUCUCAUUUACCCACGCUUAUUUUACCUCUCAUGUUCCUGUCUUAGUGCCAGUUCAUUCAUUGUGUUAGAGUUUUCUCUUCUCUCAUCUGGUCUCCAUUUCCUGUUCUUCUGAGUGAGCAAUCAGAUGGUGGUAACGUUUUCCACUGGUUGUGCUGCAAAAUGCAGUGGUGAAAGGAGCUGGAAUAUAUUUCAACAGCCUUGAACACGAAGUUCUGUGGGAUGCUGAUAGCCUGGAGCACCAAAAGGGGCCUAAAAUCUGGAACAUGCAGAUGAGGCCCUGACGUAGGUGCAGAAGGUCAUUAACAAUCUGGAACAUGCAGACAAAGUUACCUUGAAGUGUUUGCAACAAGGUUUGCUCUCCUGAACUUAACCUUGUUGCAAAUGUCUCUGUGUAUCUUCUGCCUCUAUGGGCCAGACUUGGUCAAUCCACUUUUGUCUCUCUGGCAUGGACACUUGCAACGUGCUGCUUCUGUUAUUGUCUUGCUGGACGAAGACUCUGAACAUGUUUGCUUAUAUCUCUUUCCUCACAGACUGGAGGCUCAGAAUGUGGUUGUAUCUGUUGUUGUAAGAGCAUGGAAUCUGCUAUUGUCUCACCGGUUAGGAGACUCAAAACUUGAAUAUAUCUAUUUUUGUCUCUCUAGAUGAACAGGAGACUUGUAUCUGUUGCUACCUUCCCUGUAUUGGGCCACAGGCAUCUGUCAUCUGUUAUAGUCUCACCCUUGCAGGCUGGGAUUCAGAACAAGGACUGUCUGUUGAAAGGUACCUUUAUCCCUUUCCGAAAAAGAGAUUGCAGUUUGGCACUUCUCCAUUCCAGUGCUGCGAUUGGCUGCUGGCAUCAGAGGGGGCACACACAAUGUUGCCCACCCUUCUUUCCCCUGUGCAACUAAUUUGCAUAAAGCACACAGUUAGAAGUCUUUAAAGUGUCUUUAACGUUUUACCAAAUGCCUUUCUCUCUUUCCAAACCACCACCAGAAUACCUUUGGCAAUAUUCUAAACGAAUAGAGUUCAAACAAGAUGGAAAAAGAUUGAACUGAAUUUAUUUGUACAUUAACAACUGAAUAGCUGUCACCGAGAAUACUUAUUUCUCUGAAUAAGUAUGAAAUGGAUGUGUGUAGUUUACAUCAGUUUUAAGGUUUCCAAACACAAUUAUGAAUGGAUUCCUGUCCCAGUGCUCUUUUUAUAUGGCAUUGCAACCAUCUGCAUUUCCUAAGGAUGAGUCAAAGGUUGCUUUUGUUAUUGUUGCUUUUUGUCCAAUCAUUCUCCUUGGAACUUCAUAAGGUUUUUGACCGAGGUGAAAUGGAUGCUGCAAUGGUCACUGAACUGUCUGAGCUACGGCAAGGCAGUUCAUCAGUAUCAGACUGUUCUAUUAAAUUUCACACCCUGGCAACCUCCUGUGGGUGGAACGAACAGGCACUGUGGGAUUGCUUUCUGUGUGGGCUCUCAGAAAAGGUGAAAGAUGAGAUUUAAGAUGAUAUUUAUCACCGCCUUCUUCAUCCUUCCAGACCCUUGUACCUUCUCUUGAACGAGUAUCUAUCUAUCUGUCCCCCGUUUUUUCAUGUCCGUUUUCACAGGAGGAGUCAAUUGACCUCACAGGGGUACCUGAAGCUUACCAUGACUUGAGGGGUGUUUUCAAUAAGUGCCAGGCUGCUUCUCUUCCUCCCCAUUGCCUGUACGACUGCGCUAUUGAUCUUCUCCCAGGCACUUUUCCACCUCGGGGUAGACUCUGUUCACUUUUGACUCCUGAGAGAGAGGCCAUGGAAAAUAUAUUAGUGAUUCUCUUGCAGCGGGAAUAAUUUAUCCCUCUUCCUCCCUAGUGGGUGCGGGGUUUUUGGUAGAAAAGAAGGAUGGCUCACUAAGACCCUGUAUUGAUUAUCAAGGACUGAAUGACAUCACGGUGAAGAAUCGCUAUCCUUUACCGUUGAUGUCGUUGGCUUUUGAACUUUCACAGGGAGCCUUCUUUUUUACUAAAUUGGACUUGCAUAACACUUACCAUCUUGUUCACAUAAGGGAGGGGGACAAAUGGAAGACAACAUUUAACAGCCCCACAGGGCAUUUGGUUAUGCCCUUCUUUAUCCACUGCGCUGGCUGUCUUUCAGCACAGUGGCUGUGCUGGCACUUGUCAAUAACGUUCUCUGGGACAUGGCAAACAAAUUUGUGUUUGUUUACCUUGAUGUCAUCCUCAUUUUUUUCCCACAAUCUUCACGAUCAGGUCACUCCUUGUGUGGCUGACCGGUUGGUUCAUAGAGUAGUUUCUAUGGUUUUUAUAUGUUUUUUAGUAUAUUGAGUGCAUCUAUUUAGACAUUUAUGGACAUUUAUUCAGACAGAUCAUGUUAUAUUGAGAGUACAUGCACAACUGUAGCAUAUUGUAGCAUAAACGAAGGUAUGGUAUGGCUUCCUGUGUGUUCUAUGGUCGCUAACCAACCGUAUUGUAUCUGACUGACUGUUUGGAACAUUCACUAGUGAAUCGAACAGUGAUAUGGAUUACCGAAGACUGGCCACCGCUGCGUCUUUAGAAUGCCGUUUCAUGGGUGAGAUGCUGCAAAAGACGCGAGACAUGAGUGCAACACCCAAACACGUCCGCCAAACAUAAAAACAAUUUGAAAAAUAGCGCAAUGGAAUGCAAAAAACUGUAAAGAACUACUACUGUAUGUUUGAUAUUUCAUGUUUGCAUGAGGGUGACAGGCUGAAAGCUGCUGUUAUUUUUUUUUGUUUUUACAGGGCAUUUGCUGUUAAUAAUAGUUUUUCUUAUUUUAAAUUAUUUCUAAGUACAUAGGAUAUAGUUAAGAUACAUUUGUACAACAUUUGCCUUCAUAUUUAAUGCAUAUUUUCUGCAAAGAUAUUUAACAAAUAACAAGUCAUUUGUUUUACAUUUACACCAUGUUGAUCACUUUAGGUGUGGUGCACUUGGAAUAGAACUUUUUUUAAACCAGAUGGUUAAUAAAGAGAAUGUUACUUGAAUCAUAUUGUAGUUAAGUUUUUAAGAUGACUAGUUAAACAUUUCAUAAAUUGAUAUCGUGAAUAGGUCAAUCGUUCUGAAAAAAAAUCUAGAUUUUCACCCAGCUCUACUACUGUCACGUAUAUGUUCUGUUUAGUUCACCUUCUGUCUUAUCUGUAUUAGUUCUCAAUAAUCACCAUGGGUUCUAAUUAGUUGAGUCUUGUCAGCUGUUUCCGUUUGUCAUCAUCUGUGUAUUUAAGUUCCUGUCUGUUCUCAGUUCAUGGUCAGUCAUUGUUGGUGUAACUAGUAAUGUUAUUUCUGUAACCUGUUUCCUAUGUGAAUAACCAGUAAAUGCUAUUGCUAUCGUAUUCUGUGUUCAUCAUCUUCCUUCAUGGACUUUGUGUUACAACUACGAAAGCUCACCAGAUGAAGAAAAGGAUGGAAAGAAGCUGUGAACAGGGCAAACAGCAAGAAGUGUCGUUACAUCUGCAGAUUUGGAUGAUUUAGAAAAAAAACAACAACACAAAAAUAACAGUGUGGGCCGUUAAUUGUUUAGCUGAAAAACAGCUCCUUAUCGACCUCAAACACAUCGAGAAAUCACAAAUGAAAUGUUACAAGAUUUUUAUGGCUCCAUUCGGACAAGUAACUGUAUCAGCAGUUACCUGAGUCUUCGGGAGGCACUGAAUCGCAACAUCAAUGAACCUCCUCUUAAGCCCCCGGGAUACACUGCACGAUUUUUGGCCGUCCCAGAUGAAAGAUUGCCAUCGUGAAACAAUCAUGGCGAUUUCUGUGAUCGUGGCUCUUAAUCGGUGGUCCUAUGUCGUACAGUGAGAGAGGUUCAAAGACGGCCGUUUUCCGGCUCUUGCGACCAAAGAAAGCCUACGAUCAUUUUCUGACAGUGUCAGAAAUUCAGUAUGAUCAUCGCACAGUAAAUUUGCCGCUACGACCUACGUCUACUGACCAGCCAAUAAAAAUGCAACAUGAAAUCAAAGCGACAUGGCGCUAAAACUGAAAACUGCUUUCCUCAAGCUUUUUUCCCUUCUUCUUUUGCCGCUUCCUUUUUAUUUUCAGCACACAUAAAAUCUACAACUGCCAAAGUGUGAUUCAACAUGGUAUUUUUGUUAACCACUAGCGCAUGCUGAUGUUUGAAAGUUGAAAGUUGUUAAACAAAUCUUACGAUUCGGUAGGGAUAGAACAUCACACUACCCACCGAUUUCAUCUGAAGACAAGCAAAUACUGAAACGAUCUGCAGCACUAGAUCCUGGCAACCCAAAAGAUUUAUUAAAUAAAGUGUGGUAUUCAGUUACACUUCGGACGAAGAGGGAAGGAUGGUAAUCGGCAGCUUAAGCCAGACUCGUUUGAACUAAAGCAAGACGAAAACGGGACAAAAUAUUUCACAAUGACAUUCAAUGAGGAAACAAAAAACCACAAAAAGCCACUGGAGGUCUAUAUGUACAGGUAUGUUUCUGAUUUGUUUAGCCUAUAACCUACAAUAAAAAGAAAAUAAUGCAAAAUGCGUGUUCUGUUUUAAAACACUAAUACGUGCGCUUUUUUUUUUUUUUUUUUUUUUUUUUUUUUAGGUCAGAAGGCUCAUUAAAAUCGUACUGGAGACCAUCCCAAGAGAGAAGAAAAUGCUGGAAUGCAGCAAUGGCAGCAGAUGAAAAGGAAACCAGUGGGCGAAUUUAAAACACUGUGUGGAGCAGUUAGUGGGUGUAUUUCAGACUCUGUCCCAGAACUCUCUGGCUAGUGGUGUAGUCCCUCAGCUGUGGAAACAUUCCACAGUUAUUCCGAUACCAAAAAAGAGUUCCAUCAAAGCCCUAAAUGAUCUCAGGCCUGUUGCUGUCACCUCUCUUGUGAUGAAGGCAAUGGAGAGAAUAUUAUUAAAAAUUAUAUCACUAAGGUAAUUGACCCACAGUUGGACUCACUUCAGUUUGCAUAUCGCACAGGCAGAGGUGUCGAUGAUGCAAAGGUAUUUAUCACAGCAUCUCGAGUCUACCAACACCACAGCCAGACUUUUGUUUACUGAUUUUUCUUCAGCAUUCAAUACCCCACUAUAGGUGAACAACAAAUGCUGAGGUUGGCUGGCAGGAUUUUACAGGCCCUUCACAUGUCCUGUUUUCUGUUUUUGAGUGGCUCCCCUCAGGGCGAUGGCUUCAUUGUCCAGGCUGUAGGACACAAAGGAGGAAGGCAACCUUUGUUCCUAAAGUGGUACAUCUUUUAAAUUCCCAAACAUCUCUGACCCCUUGUUUACCAUGCAGAGACUUUCCCCCUACUUACUUAAAUUUUUAAUUUCACUCAGUUAUAUACAUACACAUACUGUACAUAGUGACUGUUUCAGACUUUUUUUUUAUCUGCCUGUAGCAGAUUAUAUUUAAUACAUAUGUACAUUGUGCAUACUAUGUUUUUAGUUAAUAUAUAUGUAACCCCUCUACCCAGAUCCUACUCGCCCCGCUCUGCGCGGGGCUCGAACCCAGGUCUCCGGCAUGGGAGUCGGACGCUCUAACAAGGAGGCUAAAAGCUGCAACCCCUAGUGUCAGUCGCUAGAGCAUCUCUUGAGAUCAGAAGAGUGGGGUUUACUUGCACAGCAACUACUAGCUGGCCUCUGUUAUACUCACCCCCCUAAACUUCACUCCCAUCCGGGUCACGGCACCAAUGUAACCCCUCUACCCAGGUCCUACUCGCCCCGCUCUGCACGGGCCUCUAACCCAGGUCUCCGGCGUUGGAGUCGGAUGCUCUAACAAGGAGGCUGAAGGCUGCAACCCCUAGUGUCAGUCGCUCAGAUCAGAGGAGUGAGGUUUACUUGCACAGCAACUACUAGCUGGCCUCCGUUACAUAUAUGAUGCUUCCUAUGUAUAUUGUGUUAUGUUCCUCUACGUGACUUUGUAAAUUGCCCCCUGGGGACAAAUAAAGUGUUUAAAAUUAAAAUUGAAAUCUUCCAAGAAUGAAACCAAAUGCAUUGCCCUGCUCUUUUAAAACCCAGAGCACCUUCUUGGAGUUCAAAGCUUGUUUGGGUCGAGUAUGCUCAUAACUCUUUGCCUGUGUCAUCUAUGGGUCUAUCGCCCUUCCAGUGCUGUUUAGGCUACCAGCACCCCCUGUUUUCCUCCUAAAACUCCAACAUGUUUUUUUUUGUUGUUUUUUUUGCAUUUUUAAUUAAUCAUAACUAACAUUUCUUUUCCUUUCAUGCUUAACAUUUGUAUGCUUUUGAGAACGAAAUGUACUAACACUUUAGCCAAAGGUAGUGUGUUGAAAUAGCGGAAGCAUAUGGACAUGGCUAGAUAGCUAUAAAUAUAAUAAACCCAUGACCUGAGUAACAAGCUGAAGUAAUCUGUACUGUAUUCAAAGGCAAUGUCUGGAGGUCAGUGGAACACAAUGAACACCUAAACACAAUGAAACCAUUAAACCAAUGAGAAUGUAACACAAAUGAAAAGAAAAGCACAUGGCAUGAACGCAAGGGAAACAGGGGAAUUAAAUGACACAUGAAAACAAAGAGAAAACCCCCCCAAGUUAACUUAAGUCAUGUGCGUAGGGGAAAACUACCACACAUAAAUUGGGACCCAAAUUUAUUGGAAUGUUUUUCAUCACUAAGGAGCUCUGCCCAGUGGCGGUUCGACUUAAAUUUCACCAUUUUUGAAACGUGUCUACCCUGUGUUCCAUGUUUCUAAGAUCAAACUAGUCAUUCGUUCUCCUUUCCAUCCUAACAGCCCUGUUCCUUCACCUCACCAUUUGAUUGAAGGAUCGCAUGACAUUCAUCCCACUGAAAACUUCAAUAGUUAAGGUUUAAACUCAAGUUGAGUCUGAAGUCAAGUCUAAUUAAAGUCUAUUAAAAUGCUAUUUGAGUCAGAGUCUCUUACUCGAAUUUCUAUAUCUGUAAAUGUUUGAUUGUUGCUUGAGUGUUCAAAUACUUUUUGCAGGCACUGUUUGUACAUUAAGUGUAUUCCAUAACUGGUUUUGUCAGGUGAUUUUUUUUUUUUUUUUUUUUUUCAGAAGGGACCUGAAAGAACUGUGACAGAGCAAGCAACUUUCAUUUUCCAUUUAUGACCAUGUUCCUCCUGCAGAGUGACGUACAAAUGAAUGAUAGCAAUGUGAUAAACAAGGUGCUGCGCAGCACUCAUCACAGACAUGGUAUUCAAGUAACAACUACACAAGAGAAGCAGAGUUUUCAUACAGCUACACAAUGCUCAACAGGAGAGAACUGAUGGUAUCCGGCCCUUCGUCGCCCCGGUCAGCCAAUACAUCAAUAGUGUUAAGAAACAGUUCCUUAUCUCUAACUGAACCAAAAUUGGAUAAGGAUAAUAAUGAUAAUUGUGAAGGUGAUGGUGGUGAUAAUGAUGAGGAGGAGGAGGAUGAUGACGAUGAACCAAGUAAACCACACAAUGCCGGAUCUGAGGAAGCAUGGAACAAAGAGGUGUUGAUGUUGGUCUUCAGAUUGCUUUUUGUGUAUUUAAUGUAUUUGUUUGGUUGCACCAAAUGCCUGUAUGCCCUGGACAAAAGGACAGACUGGUACUUCUAUUCUGAGUAGACAAAUGAAGCAUGUCAAGGUCUGUUCUUUAUUUGCUGUAUAUCCUCCAAUUGUAGCCUUUAUUGUUGUUUGGUAAUAAUUGUGAUAUGGUUGUUCUGAGUCAUGAAUUCAAAUUUAUAGUUUUUUUUUUAUAUUAUUAUUAUUAUAAUGAUUUCUUAAUAAAACAUCUGUGCCUGAUUUCACCAAACAUCCAUCAUCUUGCCAGCUACAGGUGCUGGUCAUAUAAUUAGAAUAUCGUGAAAAAGUUCAUUUUUUUAUUGUAAAUUAUUUUAAAAAAUGAAACUUUCAUAUAUUCUAGAUUCCCUACAUGUAAAGUAAAACAUUUCAAAAGUUUUUUUUUUUUUAAAUUUGUUGAUUAGAGCGUACAGCUAAUGAAAGUCCAAAAUCCAGUAUCUCAAAAUAUUAGAAUAUUUACAUUUGAGUUUCAUUAAAUGACCAUCCCUACAGUAUAAAUUCCGGGUAUCUUUUGUUCUUUGAAACCACACUAAUGGGGAAGACUGCUGACUUGGCAAUGGUCCAGGAGACAAUCACUGACACCCUCCACAAAGAGAGUAAGUCACAGAAGGUCAUUACUGAAUGGGGUGGCUGUUUACAGAGUGAUGUAUCAAAGCAUAUUAAAUGCAAAGUUGACUGGAAGGAAGAAAUUGGGUAGGCAAAGGUGCACAAGCAACAGGGAUGACCGCAAGCUUGAGAAUACUGUCAAGUAAAGCCGAUUCAAACACUUGGGAGAGCUUCACAAUGAGUAGAAUGAAGCCGGAGUCAGCGCAUCAAGAGUCACCACACUCAGACAUCUUCAGGAAAAGGACUACCAAGCCACUUCUGAACCAGAGACAACGUCAGAAGCAUCUUACCUGGGCUAAGGAGAAAAAGAACUGGACAGUGAACAGUGGUCGAAAGUCCUCUUUUCAGAUAAAAGUAAAUUUUGCAUUUCAUGUUGAAAUCAUGGUCCCAGAGUCUGAAGGAAGAUUGGAGAGGCACAGAAUCCAAGCUGCUUGAAGUCUAGUGUGAAGUUUCUGAAGUCAAUAAUGAUUUGGGGGGGCCGUGACGUCUGCUGGUGUUGGUCCAUUGUGUUUUAUCAAGUGCAAAGUCAAUGCAGCCAUCUUCCAGGAGAUUUUGGAGCACUUUAUGCUUCCAUCUGCUGACAAGCUUUAUGGAGAUGCUGAUUUCCUUUUCCAGCAGGACUUUAGCACCUGCCCACAGUGCAAAAACCACUUCCAAGUGGAUUGCUGACCAUGAUAUUACUGUGCUUUAUUGGCCAGCCAACAUGCCUGACCUGAAUCUAUGGGAUAUUUUCAAGAGAAAGAUGAGAAACAGUCGAUCCAACAAUAUACAGAUGAUCUGAAGGCUCAAUAGUGCCUCAGCAGUGCCACAGGCUGAUCACUUCCAUGCCACACUUCACUGAUGCAGUAAUUUGUGCUAGGAGCAAGUCAUUUGCUGUAAUAUGUCCUGCCGAUCAAGUAUUAAGUGCACAAAAGAACAUACUUUAAAGAACUUGAACUUUUCUGUUUUGCAAAUCCAUUUUUUGAUUGAUCUUAGGAAAUAUUCUAAUAUUUUGAAAUACUGGAUUUUGGACUUUCAUGAGCUGUACGCUCUAAUCAUCAAAAUUUUAAAAAAAAACUUUUGAAAUGUUUUACUUUACAUGUAGGGAAUCUAGAAUAUAUGAAAGUUUCAUUUUUAAAAAUAAUUUAUAAUAAAAAAAUGAACUUUUUGAUGAUAUUCUAAUUAUAUGACCAGCACCUGUAUUAUCCAACUUCAUAUGCCUACUCACUAAAAGUGUUUUAUGAUAGGAAAUUUCAUCAUUAUAUUGUCUGUUUAUCAUUAAAUUGUCACCAAAUGUAAUAAACUAUUGCCCAUCUGUUACAUGUGGACUGUAUGAGGCAUUGAGCUAUUUCAAACAUAUGUAUUUGAAGCUGCUUUGAAACAAUAAAAAAGUUGUUUUGA